UGGGAAUAUUCGAUCACGCAAAUAAAUUUAGGUUAGAUCGUGUUUUUAGUUGGAAUGUAACGUAAACAGCAGUCUAAAGAAAAGUAAUUCCCGCAUUCACGGAUGUAUAACAUGGGAAAUGAUAGGGAAUUAAUAAUAGUUUGAAAAUAUAUUCUUUGGUUUAUAUAAGAUUUUCUUACUUCUAUUUCGUGUUUCAUUUCUGAACUUUUAACAAACUUUCAAUCGAUAUUGAUUAUUUUAUAUAAUAGUUCAUCAAAUUAUCAUUAGUAUAUAAAGAUGUCGCAUCUGCGGAGUUCGACUUGACAAGUUAAUAUUAUUUAUUAAAUUUUAUUUUAUUAUUAAGUGUGUUCACGUGUUUAUUAAUCAUUAAAGAAAUUUGUUUAUAUUAUCAAAUACAAUUAAUAAUAUAAUCAAAGAGAAGAUGAUGCCACAUAUUAAACUUCUCAACAAUUUGCAAGGGGGUUCAGCGCAGAACGACUCUCUCAAGACACAGUGGGUUCCUUGAGGACACUUGAAUCCGGCACAAGAAGAAACUUGAAUUCGAAAUCAGUUUUGAUUUCUCGCCUUUUCAAUUUAUACGAAAAUAUGAACAUGUAUGUACGAACUCACUUUCAUCCCAACGACAACGGCGGACUUUCAUCAUGCAUGUGUAUCCAUUGGUGCAGUAUACGGCAUCACAGCUGGAAGGACCCUUCAAAGAUUCUCAAAAGACACGAAUGCGCAUUAAAAAUAAAGAAUAGAAACUUGCGUAUGAGAAAUCUUUUAUAAUUUAAUAAUUUACUCAAAGGAUAUACAAAGAACGAAAUUUCUUUUAAUUAACUUAACUCAUUUAUGCGGCGUAAAAUUACAUAUUUUUUUAAUAAUAUUUUAUACCUACUUUCUCACUUAGAUUAAAAAUAAUAACUAUUCAAUGAACCUUGAAGAGACAAAAUUUCUAUUUCUGAAUAUUAAAAUGACAGAGAAAUAAUUCUCAUUCAAAACGAAAAGAAAAAGAAAAACUUGAAGUAAGAUUCCCUUGAAAGGAUAUCUCUUAGUGCAUCUCUUAAUACAGGUUCCAGAGGGAUGUAUAUCAUCCAGGAAUUUCAUUUUCAUUACAUAAUCUAAAAUCUACCGCAUCCCUGUAUAAUGGGAUCAAACAUCUAAAGACAAUGAAUUUACAACUUAAACAACUGUUUCAGAUCCAUUCACAAAAUUGCAUUCACCGUUAAUCGUUCUUUGGGCUCUGCAACCUUAAUUAAAUUUCACCAACUCAGAUGUCGUUGUCGAGACGCUUACCUGUACGAGAUUUCGAGCAGUAGAGCAUAGUGGGACAAGGUGGAUUUUUGCAUCGGAAUUUUCUGUGUACGCAGUGCUCGUCUUCCUCGCAAUGCAAGUACGGGCAUCCUCGAUGGACAGGUGCCUGGAUCAAUUCUGUGUAUAAAUUAUUAUAAGUCACAAUUCGAAAUUUCUUCAAUCCUUGGAAGAAUAUUUUGGAAAAUUGAAUUUCCAUGCGUUUGAAAAAAAUAUUUUUAAAAGGAUAAAUUUUGUGUAUGGAGUGAUAAAAUGGAUUGAAAAUUUAUUAAACUGUUAUAAUGUUUUAUGAAAGUAGAAUAUUUGGAGAAGCAAUAAGAAGAUGUAAAAGAAUAGGUGGAAAUUUAAA